rnacentral:lncRNA from 1 species
GAUCCUUUUCAUUUAUCGUGAUUCUCCAGUUCAAUGCUCAUUUAAUUAAAGGCAACGCCAUGAAUUCAUUUCCAUUUUUCCAUCCAUGUGGCUCUUAUCUGAAGCAGGAGGGUCGUGGCCUAACUAUAAAAAAAGGUUCUUACUCCAUUUAUACAAAAAAAAAAACAAAACCAAACUAGUAACACCGUACAUUUACCACUCAUAUGCA